rnacentral:rRNA from 1 species
UACGUAGGGUGCGAGCGUUGUCCGGAAUUAUUGGGCGUAAAGCGUGUGUAGGCGGCCACGUAAGUCGGAUGUAAAAGCCCCAGGCUCAACCUGGGAAGUGCACUCGAUACUGCGUGGCUUGAGUAUCGGAGAGGUUGGUGGAAUUCUCGGUGUAGAGGUGAAAUUCGUAGAUAUCGAGAGGAACACCGGUGGCGAAGGCGGCCAACUGGACGAAUACUGACGCUGAGACACGAGAGCGUGGGGAGCAAACAGG